rnacentral:rRNA from 1 species
AGAGUUUGAUCCUGGCUCAGAACGAACGCUGGCGGCAGGCUUAACACAUGCAAGUCGAACGCCCCGCAAGGGGAGUGGCAGACGGGUGAGUAACGCGUGGGAAUCUACCGUACCCUACGGAAUAACGCAUGGAAACGUGUGCUAAUACCGCAUACGAUCUCUGGAUGAAAGCGGGGGACUCGCAAGGGCCUCGCGCGAUUGGAGCGGCCGAUAUCAGAUUAGCUAGUUGGUGGGGUAAAAGCCCACCAAGGCGACGAUCUGUAGCUGGUCUGAGAGGACGACCAGCCACACUGGAACUGAGACACGGUCCAGACUCCUACGGGAGGCAGCAGUGGGGAAUUUUGGACAAUGGGCGCAAGCCUGAUCCAGCAAUGCCGCGUGCAGGAUGAAGGCCUUCGGGUUGUAAACU